rnacentral:rRNA from 1 species
GUAGGUGAUGGACAACAGGUUGAUAUUCCUGUACUACCGAUAACCGUUUGAGAGAAGGGAUGACACAGUAGGAUAAGCUAAGCACACUGUUGGUUAUGUGUGCCCAAGCAUUGAGGCAGUCAAAGUAGGCAAAUCCGCUUUGAUAAUGCUGGGAUGUGAUGGGGAGCGAAAUUUAGUAGCGAAGUAGCUGAUUUCACACUGUCAAGAAAAGUCUCUAUCGAGGUUAAAGGUACCCGUACCGCAAACCGACACAGGUGGGUGAGGAGAGUAUCCUAAGGCCAGCGAGAGAACUGUUGUUAAGGAACUCGGCAAAAUGACCCCGUAACUUAGGGAUAAGGGGUGCCACCAUCAGGUGGCCGCAGAGAAUAGGCCCAAGCGACUGUUUACCAAAAACAUAGGUUUCUGCUAAGUCGCAAGACGAUGUAUAGGAGCUGACGCCUGCCCGGUGCUGGAAGGUUAAGGGGAUCUGUUAGAGCAAUCGAAGCAGUGAACUUAAGCCCCAGUAAACGGCGGCCGUAACUAUAACGGUCCUAAGGUAGCGAAAUUCCUUGUCGGGUAAGUUCCGACCCGCACGAAAGGCGUAACGAUUUGGGCACUGUCUCAACAACAGACUCGGUGAAAUUGUAAUUCCGGUGAAGAUGCCGGAUACCUGCGACAGGACGGAAAGACCCCAUGGAGCUUUACUGUAGCUUGACAUUGGGUCUUGGUACUACAUGUACAGGAUAGGUGGGAGGCUUUGAAACCAGGACGCCAGUUUUGGCGGAGCCAUCCUUGGGAUACCACCCUUGUAGUACUGGGACUCUAACCAUAG